rnacentral:rRNA from 1 species
CGCUGUGUGUUACAAGUGUCACACGGAACUGCCGGUCAUAAACCGGAGGAAGUGGGAUGACGUCAAGUCAGCAUGGCCUUUAUAUCCCUGGGCUACACACACGCUACAAUGGGAAGGGACAAUAGGUUGCGAAGCCGCGAGGUGGAGCCAAUCCAGCAAAACUUCCCUCAGUUCAGAUUGCAGGCUGCAACUCGCCUGCAUGAAGUUGGAGUUGCUAGUAAACGCAGGUCAGCCAUACUGCGUUGAAUACGUUCCCGGGGCUU